UAUGCAUGUAUAUAUAUAUUCCAAUAACACAGAAAGGUCACCCACACAGGAGCAUCUAGAGUAAAACCUUUGUUGUCUUGUCUUUAAGAGAAAAACAAGAGCGGCUGCGUAUUCAACCUAAGUCACCUCUCUGGAAGACUUUGCUGAUAAUGCUGCCCAGAAAAUGAAAAUUGGAACAAUAAUGUGCAGAGGGAAGGCCCUGCUGGAGAGCGCUAUGAUCCCUGCAGUAAAAUGAGAAUGUAAAAUCUAUGUCACUGAGAAGAAUUGUGCUGGAUCUUUGGGGAAGAGAAGACAGUAUGGCUCUUUGAGAAAUGGCAGUGAGAAGAAUCCCCACGUGAGAUGGAGAUGGAGUCCUGAGGAGGUCACAAGCCCAAGGAGAUGACUUGACUGUGUGAUACAUCAAAGGUGCUGGAACUCUAGCAAUGGAAGUACCAACCUUGCCAGAAAUGCAAACACCCAAAACUUGGAACAUAAACUAAAAAAUACUGGCUACCAGGGGAGGGAAGCUGCUUCCAUCCCAUACUGA